rnacentral:rRNA from 1 species
UACGUAGGGGCAGCAGUCGUUCGAUUCGAUUUGUGGCGUAAAGCGCGCGCAGGCGGUUCUUUAAGUCUGGUGUCUAAGUGCGGGGCUCAACCCCGUGAUGCACUGGAAACUGGGGAACUUGAGUGCAGAAGAGGAGAGCGGAAUUCCACGUGUAGCGGUGAAAUGCGUAGAGAUGUGGAGGAACACCAGUGGCGAAGGCGGCUCUCUGGACUGUCAACUGACGCUGAGGCGCGAAAGCGUGGGGAGCAAACAGG